UAUAAUGAAAGUGUCAUUAGAUUUUUUAUUAGAACUUUCGUUUCCGAGAUAUUAAAAAUCGGAAAUCUGACGAGGCAAAACUUCCAGAUAAAGCUAAGCGGUAGCGCUUCGACAGUGCCAUAUACUCACAGAUAUUCACCCGACUUUUAUAUACUUGGCGUCGCGCGAUAUAGACAUAAUUUGCAUAUAAUUAUAUAUAAUUAUAUAUGGAACUUAUAAAAAAGUUAAUCUAUCGCUUCUCGACCUCACAUUUCGUAUGUAUAUAUGUCAAUGAUACCAAAGGUAUACAUAUAUGUCAUAUGAUACCAAAGGAGCCUUAAUGUGUGUAACAGUACUAUAGGCAAUCGAUCUGUAGCCAAUAAUGUCGUGUGUGCAAUGCUACUUGCAAUUAUAUGUAUAUAGUGUCUUGUGUGCAAAUGUACUUUCGUCUUUUAAUUUUUCAAUUGUGUGCAAUAAAGUCUGUAGGCAGCAAUUUUUGCGCAAAUGAAUUGUCAGUAAAUGUGAUGUUGAAAUACGAUACUGUUGGCAAUAAAUUUGUAGGCAACUGGGACUCUUUCUCAAUCCAAUAGUAAAAAUUUAAAUUAUGCAAGAUGUAUGUACGUCAGGUUAUUGGUUUAUGAUCAAUCAUCCUUAAAAAGGUUAUAAUAGUAUUUAAACUAAUUGUGUUUUACAAACGAAAUAUAAGAUUUUGCAUACAGAAGUCUUGUUCAAGACUUUAUAUAAUUUAAACGAAAAAGGAAAGAACAGAACGUAAGUAAAUAUUAAUAUCACACAUUGAGAAUCCCCGCUUUGAAAAGAUUGUAUCAAUUAUAGUUAAAAAAUAUUGAUUUUAAAAUAUACCUAAAAUGUAUCUAUUUUGCAACUUUUGAAAACUUCUUUAAAUUGUAACGAAAUAUAGCAAUUUAGUAUAAAAGUGUUCGUAUUCGAAGCACCUAAAAAAUUGCGGGAAAUGAUUACUUUCCUUUUUCUCUGCUCGAAAGAAAGUAAUUUUUAUUAAAUAGCAUAAUUAUUAUUAAAAUAUGACAGGUAGGUUGCGACACAUUUGGUCGGUGGUUGGUUGCGACAUAUUUCCAUCCAAUAGGAGCCAGACAAUUACUUCCAUGUUGGGACGAACCUAUUUAUAAAUCGACGUUUAACAUUUCUUCGUGUCUUCGUAACAGUUUUUAUUCAAAUACAUAUGACGCUAUUGCAAAUACGCCAGUGAUAAAUAUACGAAUUUACAACCGUACUUUAAAGUAAGAAAUAAAAAUUUGGUACAGAAGAGGAUUGACGUCGUAAUUACAAUUUGCAAAGAUUAUUGAAGAUAUCAUCAUGCAUGUAGAAUCGAAAUGGAAGUUUUAUGAUGAACUCACAAAAAUCGAUCACGUCGCAAUACCAGGGUUUUACCGUGAUAAUAUCGCAUACCAGAGACUUGUUUUUUAUAGACUAUUACCGUGGUAGACAAAAUGGACAUUUUGUAACGACUUGUCAAAGAAAAUUUAUCUGAUACUUGAUCGUCAGUGAGUGACAUAUGUCAUUGGAAAGAUCUGUUUAUAAACGUUUAGAAUAUUUAUCUUAUUCUGCUAAUAUCAUCAACGUUUAUUUGAAUGUAACAAGAAAUGAAAUAUUUGAUGAUCCAAUAACAUCAUGAAUGAUUAAAGAAUUACCAAUCAAUGAUCGUUUGUUUAAUGUUCUUCUCACUAUCGAAAAGCACGCUAAAAAUCGUUUAUUAUCAUAUAUUAAAAAAUUUGGAUAAAAUAAUGCCAAGAGAAAUCAGGACGCAUCUGGAAGUAACAGUAACUCCUAUUAUUAUAAUAAUGUCUAUUUCGAGGAUGAUUUGAUUCAGAUAAUGCAAUUUUUACAAACUUUUAUAAAAUCCGGAAAGUAAUAUGUCAAAAUUUUUUCUUGAUCUGUUGCGACACAAUUUACAUUGAUGAAUAAACAUGUAAAAAGCAUUACAAAUUUUAUGCGUAAAAUAAGAAUACUCUUUGAACAAGAAAUAAAUGUAUGCAGAUCUGAAAUUUUAUUCUAUUAGGGGCAAUCGAUUUUUAUUUCUGCCCAGCUCUUUCCUAUUGUUUCUAUUUCUUUGUUGACUGUUUUUCUUCAUUAAAAUCGAAGCAUAUGUGGGGUGAAGAAUCGAACCCGAAACCGCCGAUUAUGAAUCAACGUGCUCGCACAUCGUGUUAUUCGUUACUCCUGUAUUCGUUUCUCGAAUCAAUUGCUUUUCGGACUUGCGGGUGAUUGACCCACAGAAUCCUAUCCAACCG